AAGUUGAUGAGAAUUUGGAUAAAGAUCAUAAGUUGAAGAGGAUGAUGGCUUUAGCUUUUAGAUCCAUUUGAUUUCUAACAUAUAUGUCAAGCCUCUUGGUUCAGGCUCCAUCUCUCUAACUAGUAUUGGUAAAAGUCAUGUUCCUUGAGUGCUGCACAUAUAAAUUAGCACAAAUCGAUGUUGAAGUAAAAGACUAUAGUUGAC
rnacentral:lncRNA from 1 species